rnacentral:rRNA from 1 species
CACGUAGGGCGCGAGCGUUGUCCGGAAUUAUUGGGCGUAAAGAGCUCGUAGGCGGUCUGUCGCGUCGGAUGUGAAAACCCAGGGCUCAACCCUGGCCUGCAUUCGAUACGGGCAGACUAGAGUUCGGUAGGGGGAGACUGGAAUUCCUGGUGUAGCGGUGAAAUGCGCAGAUAUCGGGAAGAACACCUAUGGCGAAGGCAGCUCUCUGGGACGGUACUGACGCUGAGACGCGAAAGCGUGGGGAGCGAACAGG